UUAUAUUAUUACAUAUUAGUUAGAAAUUUUUAAACACUUGUAAAAUACAACGUACAUAUUGUUUGGAGCAAAAUUUUACAACAUUUUAGUAAUGGCAUAAUAGGAUACGAUAGUAUACUAUCUCAAUAAAAUGUGUUUAUGCGUAAAAUGAUGACGGAAGUCGUUUAAUUGGAGGGAGACGUAUCUAGUGAAAUAUUAAACGGUGCAUAAUGAAUGAAUUUAAUUUUAUUUCUACAAUUACACACCAUAAACCGAUAAGUAGACAACCAUAAACCAUUUUCGACACUGAUAUUGGUUAAUCAGUAACCAACAAAUAUUCUGACCGUCAAUAAUGAUUAUUUGUAACCAAAAACACUUUCAGGUCUUCUAUAAUGAUUGUUUCUGAACUAUUUAAACUAAUUUGAACUAUUGGACUUAAUUGAAUAAUUACUGUAUAUUGUCUGAGAUGUAGUGGUUCACGAAGAUAUUAUACACUUGAAUAUAUUAUAUGCAAUAUAUGAAAUUUCUCAAAACUUCAUUAACACCAUAGUGAGACACGAAUAUCGUGACCAUAAUAAUGUCUGAAACCAAUCGGAAAAUAUAUAUGGCAGUUACAAGACACUUGGAUACACUUAGUGAAAAAUUAGUAUGAAUAUUAAUCUUAAACAGACAGUUAGUGUUACAGACUCGCAGUAAAUAUUGUGGCUUAUUACUAUAAUGAAUAUGUAAUUGACCGCUCAAAUGUUUUGGUGAUCUUUGCGAAAUACGCUUUCAUUGAAUAUUUUGCAAUUUAUAUAUGUGUUUUCAGACUCGUUUCCAAUUUUACCAAUUUAAUGACGAUGGUCGUAUCUCGUUACAAUGUUAAUGAGAUUUCAAAUUGAUUUGUGUAAUGUAUACAUAAAAAGAUUCUAAGAUUGUCGAAUACUUUCGGAAAUAAUUCGGGAUGCAUAUAUCAUGGGACGAUCUUCAGAAUUUUGUGUACUCAGUUGAUUCACAGAACCGUGAAAAAUGCAAGAGUAUAGCGAGGACUUGGCACGAAUUUGCCACGGAACGCCGUAGUAUGCGCGACGUACAGUCUUGUUUCAUCUGCUGUUAUCUGAAAAUCCUCUCUGUCCUACUUAUUUAUAUUUAUGCAUUUGAAACGGCGAUCAGGCGAAAGAUACGAAGUAUCGCUAACGUGACCGAGUUUCGCCUCGAAUUUUCAGAGAUUCAUUGUGAUCUUGUUACGUUCUUUCCGUCUCGCCGUUAAUUUCCUUUACCUCCCUGAAAAAUCGCCGAGAGAUCCUAUAUUCGAUAAACAACCAACGAGGAAAAAGUUUAUCAAUAAUAGGUAGUUCUUAAAGAGGAUGAUGUAGGAUUUUCUAGGGAUUCUUUAGGGAGGAAAUGAUAGAUGCAAUCUUUUAAACCAGGGGUUUUUAGAUACAAAUUCUGAUAUUUUCUUACUUAGAAUGUUCUGGAUAGUUGUAUAAGUAGAAGAAAAAUGCGUUUCUAUUUAAAAGG